UGGGGAAUCUUCCGCAAUGGACGAAAGUCUGACGGAGCAACGCCGCGUGAGUGAUGACGGCCUUCGGGUUGUAAAGCUCUGUUAAUCGGGACGAAAGGCCUUCUUGCGAAUAGUGAGAAGGAUUGACGGUACCGGAAUAGAAAGCCACGGCUAACUACGUGCCAGCAGCCGCGGUAAUACGUAGGUGGCAAGCGUUGUCCGGAAUUAUUGGGCGUAAAGCGCGCGCAGGCGGAUAGGUCAGUCUGUCUUAAAAGUUCGGGGCUUAACCCCGUGAUGGGAUGGAAACUGCCAAUCUAGAGUAUCGGAGAGGAAAGUGGAAUUCCUAGUGUAGCGGUGAAAUGCGUAGAUAUUAGGAAGAACACCAGUGGCGAAGGCGACUUUCUGGACGAAAACUGACGCUGAGGCGCGAAAGCCAGGGGAGCGAACGGGAUUAGAUACCCCGGUAGUCCUGGCCGUAAACGAUGGGUACUAGGUGUAGGAGGUAUCGACCCCUUCUGUGCCGGAGUUAACGCAAUAAGUACCCCGCCUGGGGAGUACGACCGCAAGGUUG
rnacentral:rRNA from 1 species